rnacentral:misc_RNA from 1 species
AAGUCGUAACAAGGUUUCCGUAGGUGAACCUGCGGAAGGAUCAUUAUCGAAUUAUAAGCGAGGGUUGUCGCUGGCCUCUUUCGAGGCAUGUGCACACCUGAGCUCUUAAAUCCACAACACACCUGUGAACUCACCGUAGGCCCUCGGGCUUAUGUAUCAUCAUGUACUCUGAUCAUAGAAUGUAAAUAUUUUGCCUUAAAAACGCAAUGAAAUACAA